rnacentral:rRNA from 1 species
UACGGAGGGGGCGAGCGUUAUUCGGAAUUAUUGGGCGUAAAGGGCGCGUAGGCGGCUGUACAAGUCAAAGGUGAAAUCCCUCGGCUCAACUGAGGAACUGCCUUUGAAACUGUACGGCUUGAGGCCGGGAGGGGGUAGCGGAAUUCCCAGUGUAGCGGUGAAAUGCGUAGAUACUGGGAGGAACACCAGUGGCGAAGGCGGCUACCUGGACCGGUUCUGGACGCUGAGGCGCGAAAAGCGGUGGGUAGCAAACAGG